rnacentral:rRNA from 1 species
CCUACGGGAGGCAGCAGUGAGGAAUAUUGGUCAAUGGGCGCGAGCCUGAACCAGCCAAGUCGCGUGAGGGAGGACGGCCCUACGGGUUGUAAACCUCUUUUGCCGGGGAGCAACGGGCGUCACGUGUGGCGCCACUGAGAGUACCCGGAGAAAAAGCAUCGGCUAACUCCGUGCCAGCAGCCGCGGUAAUACGGAGGAUGCGAGCGUUAUCCGGAUUUAUUGGGUUUAAAGGGUGCGUAGGCGGAUCGUUAAGUCAGUGGUCAAAUUGAGGGGCUCAACCCCUUCCCGCCAUUGAAACUGGCGAUCUUGAGUGGAAGAGAAGUAUGCGGAAUGCGUGGUGUAGCGGUGAAAUGCAUAGAUAUCACGCAGAACCCCGAUUGCGAAGGCAGCAUGCCGGCUUCCGACUGACGCUGAAGCACGAAAGCGUGGGGAUCGAACAGGAUUAGAUACCCGGGUAGUC